GCCCCUUCAAUGCUAAGUGUUGAUGUCACACAUUAACUAUAUCUGAAGCCAACAGAUCAGUACCAAAUUUUGGGCCCACCCUGCCAAGGAGAAGCCGUGGCCUCUCCAGGCCCUUUGCAGCUCCUCCCUCCAGCAUGCAAGCUGGUGCUGGAGGGGCCCUUUCCCUCAGGAGAUCCGGUGCCCCUGCCUGGGAGCCCACACACCUACUGUGCAUGGUGGGAUCUAGAAGUCCCUGCACAGCUCCCUUGGCUCCAGCUCUGCUUCUGUGAUGUGAAUUCCAGCCUUAAUUAGACAGCAGGAGCCUUUCGUACCCAUUUCUGCUCUUUCUCCAAAGUACAGGUGGCUGGGCAACAGCUAUGUGGAGAGAUUUUUUUUCAGGUCUUUGCUCUGUUCCUCUUUUCAGAAGGGAGAAAAAACAGUGGGGGGAAAAGAUGUUUUCUCACUUAAUAGAAGCUGGUGAGAGGCAGUCUAUUAGUAAGGAAUUUGGGGCUUUUUAGAUUUGAAUUUUGGGUCAUUCUUCCUUCUGAUCAUGUCAAUUGGUGAGUUCAUUUCUUCUGCGAAAACAGAUUAGCCUUCGAGCUUCCUGAGAACUGAGACAACGAGGUCCCCUCCAUCUUUGAGUCAGCCUGGCCUCGGGGACAGAGGAUGGAUUUUGGAGUCGGACAAGCCCCGGCUGAGGCUCCCUUCAGUCAUGACCUUCCAAGACGAGAAGCUUCACGGCAGGCAAUGAACAGAGACGGCGUCAUCUCCAAGGCUCAGUGGAGCGAGUCACGUCACCCUCACUUAGCUGCAUGGGUAAGUAAGCCCAGGCCUAGGGAGCUAGCGAGGGGCGGGGCCUGAAUUUGAACUCCAGCGGGCUGGCUGCAGGCCCUGCUGCCUCAGGACCCCCACCACAGGGAAGCUCACAGCCUCUCAGCAUCUAGCCCAACCAGGCCAGUCAAGAGGUUGGCAAAUUCUAAAAACCCCCGAUCACCAGCUGGUCUGGUCCCUCAGGCCUGGCUGUUCUCAGUCUGCCCCCUGGCUGUCCCCGGGGCCUCCCCAGCAGGGCCUCCAAAGGCACCCCUCCCACGCUUCACACCUGCCUGGGGUGCCUCUUUUCUCCUUGAAUUUAACUACAUCCAACAUCUCCUGAGCUGUUUGUGUGUGCUGGGCAGUGCACUAGGCUCUACAAAGAUAAGUUAGAAACAGUCCCUGUGGCAGGGAACUCACAACUUAGUCUUGGAGAACACAAUCUUGAACCCAGAGAAAGCAUGGCAAAUGUCUGCAAACACAUUCAGGGGGUCCGAGGGACUGACGAGGUAAGCACAGCCCGUGGGUUCCAUGCUUCAGAGCCUGGGGAGCACUGCCGCUGUGGAGGCGUCUGCACCACACGCUCGACAUUUCAUUCCAACCCUCACAACCGUCCUCCAAGAGAGCCAUUAUCGCUCCCACUUUUUGCAGAUGAGAAAAUCAAAUUACAGCCUGGUGACUUUGACCAUGGCCAUGCAGCUAGCCAUGGGCAGUGCCAAAUUUCAAAUACAUGUUCAUCUGGAUCCAUGUCAGCCUGAUUCCCACCAUUCCAGAUCCUCCCCUCAGUGCAGCCCAACCCUCUUUCAGAGCUGACGUCUCUGUAACCACCCAGCUCCUAAGUGGAGGGUUCAGGUUCAGGCUCAGGUGCCCCGUCCCCAAGCCUGCUCUUAGACCUGGCACAGAGCUGUUUAAGAGUAACUGGCCAAGGCUCUGGUGAAUGUGAGCCUCUGGGAGGUCCUGAAGAGGACAAAUGAAGGGUGUUUAUGUGGAAAGGAAGGAGAGAACUUCAUGGGCUGCGGUGAGGACAGGAAGACUCAGGCUUGCCUGGGAAACAGCAUCUG
rnacentral:lncRNA from 1 species